GACGGGGGGUCCUAGCGUUGUUCGGAAUUAUUGGGCGUAAAGCGUGUGCAGGUUGUCUGAAAAGUUAGAUGUGAAAUCCUUGGGCUCAACCCAAGACGUGCAUUUAAAACUAUCAGACUUGAGUAUGGAAGAGGUUCGUGGAAUUCCGGGUGGAGCGGUGAAAUGCGUAGAGAUCCGAGGAACACCGACGGCGAAGGCAGCGCCCUGGACGACACCUGACGCUCAGGCACGAAAGCUGGGGGAGCAAACAGG
rnacentral:rRNA from 1 species